GACGAACGCUGGCGGCGUGCUUAACACAUGCAAGUCGAACGGAAAGGCCCUGCUUUUGUGGGGUGCUCGAGUGGCGAACGGGUGAGUAACACGUGAGUAACCUGCCCUUGACUUUGGGAUAACUUCAGGAAACUGGGGCUAAUACCGGAUAGGAGCUCCUGAUGCAUGGUGGGGGUUGGAAAGUGUCGGCGGUUGGGGAUGGACUCGCGGCUUAUCAGCUUGUUGGUGGGGUAGUGGCUUACCAAGGCUUUGACGGGUAGCCGGCCUGAGAGGGUGACCGGCCACAUUGGGACUGAGAUACGGCCCAGACUCCUACGGGAGGCAGCAGUGGGGAAUAUUGCACAAUGGGCGGAAGCCUGAUGCAGCAACGCCGCGUGCGGGAUGACGGCCUUCGGGUUGUAAACCGCUUUCGCCUGUGACGAAGCGUGAGUGACGGUAAUGGGUAAAGAAGCACCGGCUAACUACGUG
rnacentral:rRNA from 1 species